UUGAAAACCUUGAACCCUUCCAUCUUUACCGUAUUCAUCUCUCUUCCAGUAGACGCAUAUCCUCUUCCCAUAGUCCUCAUCUCCUCUAUCUUUCCCUCUGGCUCCAUCUUUCCCGUUUAGGAACCCUGUUGACUUCAUCUCCUCUAUCUUUCCCGUAUCUCCCCUUCCCAUAGUCCUCAUCUCCUCUAUCUCUCCUCUUCGCAACCUUGAUCCCCAAAUCUUGAACCCAGACCUGUCUUCCCUCUCUCUUUCCCGUAUACCUAUCUCUUCCCUCUCGUUCUAAACGACGGGCAGCCACACGAUCGAAACCGACGGGAAUCAACUCCCAAAAUCAAGUUGAUUCAAUCACGCAUUGGUUUGCAACAACCGUACUUGGUUUGCCUCGUAUUCAGUCACACAUUCAGUCACGCAUUUGUUCAAAAGAUAACUCAAGGUUGAUCCAGUAUAAGGGGCAAAAGUUUCUAGCAAAAGUUAGUCUUCACAAGGUAAAAGUCAUUUUCUUCUCAAAAACAGGGGUGCGUGCUGCUCCAUUCAUACGCCAAACUGCUAAAAAUUAUUGGAGUCAUGCUUCUUUUGCAUUCGUGCUAUGGCAAUAGAACUAUGGAAGACAAAUAUGAGGCAUCCUCAGGCAUCUGAGGUCGUCAACAAGGACAUAAUAUCGCACUUUGUUCUUCAGCUAGUUUAUUGCAGAAC